UACGAGGGGGGGCAAGCGUUGUUCGGAAUUAUUGGGCGUAAAGGGUGCGUAGGCGGUUUUGUAAGUCUUGUGUGAAAUCUUCAGGCUCAACUUGAAGACUGCACGAGAAACUGCAGGGCUUGAGUGUGGGAGAGGUGAGUGGAAUUCCUGGUGUAGCGGUGAAAUGCGCAGAUAUCGGGAAGAACACCCGUGGCGAAGGCGGCUCUCUGGGACGGUACUGACGCGUGAGACGCGAAAGCGUGGGGAGCGAACGAGG
rnacentral:rRNA from 1 species